UACGGAGGGUGCAAGCGUUAUCCGGAUUUACUGGGUUUAAAGGGUGCGUAGGCGGGCCCCUAAGUCAGUGGUGAAAGCUCCGAGCUUAACUCGGAAACUGCCGUUGAUACUAUAGGUCUUGAAUUCGGUCGAGGUUGGCGGAAUGUGUCGUGUAGCGGUGAAAUGCUUAGAUAUGACAUAGAACACCAAUUGCGAAGGCAGCUCGCUACACAUAUAUUGACUCUGAGGCACGAAAGCGUGGGGAUCAAACAGG
rnacentral:rRNA from 1 species